rnacentral:misc_RNA from 1 species
GGCGCCGCGACAAUGGAGCCGCCCUUGACGAUCAGAUCGGGUUUGACGCCGAAGAACGCCGGCGACCACAGCACGAGAUCGGCCAUCUUGCCCUUCUCGACGGAGCCGAUCAGUUUCGACACCCCGUGCGCGANNNNNNNNGGGUUGAUGGUGUAUUUCGCGAUGUAGCGUUUCACGCGGAAAUUGUCGUUAUCCUUGCCUUUGUCCUCCGGCAACGAACCGCGCUGCUUCUUCAUCUUGUCGGCGGUCUGCCAGGUUCGGAUGAUAACUUCGCCGAGACGGCCCAUCGCCUGCGAGUCCGACGACAGCAUCGACAGCGCGCCGAGAUCGUGAAGGAUGUCUUCCGCCGCGAUGGUCUCCUUGCGGAUGCGGCUUUCGGCGAACGCCAGAUCUUCCGCGAUCGACGGAUCGAGAUGGUGACAGACCAUCAGCAUGUCGAGAUGUUCGUCGAUGGUGUUACGCGUGAACGGCCGGGUCGGAUUGGUCGACGACGGCAACACGUUUUUCAGGCCCGCAACCUUGAUGAUGUCCGGCGCAUGGCCGCCGCCCGCGCCCUCGGUGUGAAAGGCAUGAAUGGUGCGGCCCUUGAACGCCUUGAUGUCCUCCACGAAUCCGGACUCGUUCAACGUGUCGGAGUGGAGCAUCACCUGAAUGUCGUAGUCGUCAGCGACCGAGAGGCAGU